GUGGAUUAGAUACCCUAGUAGUCCACGCCGUAAACGAUGGAUACUAGCUGUUGGGAGCAAUCUCAGUGGCUAAGCGAAAGUGAUAAGUAUCCCACCUGGGGAGUACGAACGCAAGUUUGAAACUCAAAGGAAUUGACGGGGGCCCGCACAAGCGGUGGAGCAUGUGGUUUAAUUCGAUGAUACGCGAGGAACCUUACCAAGGCUUAAAUGCAGACUGACCGAUUUGGAAACAGAUCUUUCGCAAGACAGUUUACAAGGUGCUGCACGGCCGUCGACAACU
rnacentral:rRNA from 1 species